GACGAACGCUGGCGGCGUGCUUAACACAUGCAAGUCGAACGGAAAGGCCCUGCUUUUGUGGGGUGCUCGAGUGGCGAACGGGUGAGUAACACGUGAGUAACCUGCCCUUGACUUUGGGAUAACUUCAGGAAACUGGGGCUAAUACCGGAUCGGAGCUCCUGCUGCAUGGUGGGGGUUGGAAAGUCUCGGCGGUUGGGGAUGGACUCGCGGCUUAUGAGCUUGUUGGUGGGGUAGUGGCUUACCAAGGCUUUGACGGGUAGCCGGCCUGAGAGGGUGACCGGCCACAUUGGGACUGAGAGAGGGACCAGUCUCCAACGGGAGGCAGCAGUGGGAAAUAUUGCACAAUGGGCGGAAGCCUGAUGCAGAGACGCCGCGUGCGGGAUGACGGCCUUCGGGUUGUAAACCGCUUUCGCCUGUGACGAAGCGUGAGUGACGGUAAUGGGUAAAGAAGCACCGGCUAACUACGUG
rnacentral:rRNA from 1 species